rnacentral:lncRNA from 1 species
GGCUGCACAGUCACACGCGGCGCCCCAUUAAAGCGGCCGUCCCGGGCGCGCGCCUCAUUCGAGGCGACGGGCUCCGGGCCCUGAUAGAUGGGGUGCGGGGACGGAGACAAAUGACGGCCUUUGGGCUCGGAAUACCCACCUUUCUGGUAAUGCAGCCCAGCGGGUCCCAGCCUCGUUUUCCAGCCCUCACUCAAAAUGGAGUCGCUCUGGUUCGAACGCCUCUGACAAGUGUGUACCUACGUGUCAGGCCCAUCCUUCCUGCAGGCCUUUGUCUUGGUGUCACCCUGCCUGAGCUGGCCCCAACCACAGUAGCAACAGUGAUGCUGAUGUGUGACUGCUGCCAGGAGCCUGCUCACAUGACCGUGUGGAGAAAGUUCUUUCCCUGAGGACCAUCUGGAGUGGACGCGUGCACUACCCCUCUCUGAAUACACCCUCCCCACGAGGCCCUCUGGAGCAUCCUGUAGAGCCAGCCCCUACCCAGAGACCCUGAGCCCAGAGAAUGCGCUGGGUGGUGAGCCUGGGGACGAAUGCAGAGCCCUAGGUCUCCUCUCCAGAAGUUGGAGUGCCAUGGUGUGGUCAUAGCCCACUGAAGCCUCAAACCUCUGGGCUGAAGCCAUCCUUCCGCCUCAGCCUCCCAAGUAGCUGGGACCAUAGGUGCAUGGCACUGUGCCUGGCACUGUCUGAAUGCAUACAGCUGCGUAGCAUCGUGGUAAGAACACCCGCCCUGACAUCACACAGACCUGCAUCCACGUCCCAGCUGAGCCUCAGUUCUCACAUCUGCAAAAUGGGGAGAACAACAGCAGCAGCGUCCUGAGGCUGGGGUGAGGACCGAGUGAAAAACCUUUGUCGCAUCUUUGGGCAUCGCAGGAGUUCAAUAAAUGUUAGCUAUCGUUGUCACUUUGUAUUAUCCA